UACGAAGGGGGCUAGCGUUGCUCGGAAUUACUGGGCGUAAAGGGCGCGUAGGCGGACGUUUAAGUCGGAGGUGAAAGCCUGGGGCUCAACCCCAGAAUUGCCUUCGAUACUGGAUGUCUCGAGGCCGGAAGAGGUAAGUGGAACUGCGAGUGUAGAGGUGAAAUUCGUAGAUAUUCGCAAGAACACCAGUGGCGAAGGCGGCUUACUGGUCCGGUUCUGACGCUGAGGCGCGAAAGCGUGGGGAGCAAACAGG
rnacentral:rRNA from 1 species